rnacentral:rRNA from 1 species
GAUGAACGCUGGCGGCGUGCCUAAUACAUGCAAGUCGAGCGAACGGACGAGAAGCUUGCUUCCUUGCUGUUAGCGGCGGACGGGUGAGUAACACGUGGAUAACCUACCUCUAUGACUGGGAUAACUUCGGGAAACCGGAGCUAAUACCGGAUAAUAUUAUGAACCGCAUGGUUCAAAAGUGAAAGACGGUCUUGCUGUCACUUAUAGAUGGAUCCGCGCUGCAUUAGCUAGUUGGUAAGGUAACGGCUUACCAAGGCAACGAUGCAUAGCCGACCUGAGAGGGUGAUCGGCCACACUGGAACUGAGACACGGUCCAGACUCCUACGGGAGGCAGCAGUAGGGAAUCUUCCACAAUGGGCGAAAGCCUGACGGAGCAACGCCGCGUGAGUGAUGAAGGUCUUCGGAUCGUAAAGCUCUGUUAUUAGGGAAGAACAUAUGUGUAAGUAACUGUGCACAUCUUGACGGUACCUAAUCAGAAAGCCACGGCUAACUACGUG